UCACUAAUUAUUACAUGCUCUUUCAUAGUUGAAGUACCUACGAAAGGUAGUUAUUUUAUCCUUCUAACACGAGCAACGAACAUUUUUUGCCAUGAAUUAUGGUCACAUUAUUGCUUCUUGGUUAAAAAAACAGUAGAGGGUUGUAGCUAUUUGAAGUGCAGAAUUAUUAAGUACAGAGCAAGGAUUCCAAUUGGUCAUACAUGAAGUGAUACUCUUGCAAGAGCUAUGCAAUUAAAGUUCAUUUAAUUACAGUUUCACCACACUAUGAAAAGGGUACAACCUACCAAUCUUGAGAGCAUUAAUGUAACAACUUUUGUAGCUUAGAAAUCCAAUGGGAACUAAUAAGGUAAAUAUGCUCCUUUCUUGCAGACUUGCAGUUCUGUUUUAUUCAUUACCCUGCUGCAAGCUCUUGGGUGUGUAAUGUAUAUAAGUAAAUUGUCUUUGCUUCUAGGUCCAAGGGACAAAAUUGCUGAAUGAUUUUGGCAUCUCCUGAUUUUCCUUCUCCAUGGUUUCCAUGUUCUGUGGUCUGAAUUCAGUUUCUUUUCUUUGUCUAAAUUCUGUGCAAAUUGAUGGAACCCACACUAUUUGCAAGUUCGGUUUGCCUUUUCCUUUAAAGAUUUGUACUGCUCUAUUUUUUUUUAAUUGUCGAGGCAACAAAAUACCCCUUAUGUCAUGUAUACUUCUUUGAUAGCAGUUUAUUAAGUGCUUAUACCAUAAUAUCUCUGAUAUACAUACUGUAAUUAUAAUAGUAGCAAUCUAAAUUUAUCAUUGGCUUGAAAAUAAAAUAUUUGUGAGGAUAGAACGGAAAUAUCAGCUUCACUCUGCAUUUCUUAUAGAUGUACCUCGGAGAAAUGCAGAAUUAAGAAGAGCUAUUUUCAAAACACCACUAUCUAUAUCUCUAUAUAUGUGCAUAACUCAGAACUCUUUUUGUCGGUACAUGAUUGUGCACCUCCUAUGCCUGCUUAAUUGUGUGUUCAUUUUGUUAAUCAAGAAGCAUAUGAUUUUAUGGCUGGGUACGUUGAAAAUAUAUAAAACCUUUCUUCUUUUGGAUAAUCUGUUUCCCUUUCCCUAAUCUUUGUUACUUGCCGACACAUCUAUGCAUACUAUUCACUACUGCUACCAAUCGCAUGCUUGUUUGUUCAGAUACUUGAAUGGUGGAACAUGGCUUUUGUUCGAUGGCGAUUUUCCAUUCUUUGUAUGUGUUGCAUUCUUUUGUCCAAAAAUAGAGAUGUACGUUCUGCAAGAAGAAAAUGCUAAGUCUUUUACUAGCAAAAAUUUCGAUCUUGCACAUUUAGCUUUCUACGCACAGUCUCACUAUCAUCUUGUGUAGUUUAUUUAUAGCGGUUGAAUACAAAAUUUUAGCCCUCCUAUUUUCGAGUAUGAAUCGGAAUCUAAAUCAGCAACUGUAAAAAUGAUUAGUAAUUGCGCUUACUUUUCAGAGUCUCCUCCUUUUCUCGCUGUUGAAUCCCUGCCACCAUCAUGUCCAGACUGGUUGUCUCCAUGGUUGUGGCGCCAAGGUCACCGCAUCUUACAUCCUGAUGCAUGUAAGACAAUAUGAUUAAGCUCCAUGUAUUUGUUAAUUUCUGGUCUUACUAGCGUAUAUAUUCAUUUCUAUUUUGUGCUCAUGGGCCCUCGAUGUAUUACGUACAAGGUGUGUUAGGUUGAAGCAUGAGGCUGGAAGGGGUCUUGUGCGAGGACUAGCAUUUGCUUUAGUCAAACCAAAAUACUUCUAAAAUUGUAGCUGCACUUGUUGGUUUGAUGUACAUGAGAAGCCCCAAUUUUGUUGGCAAUAGAUGCAUGGUUUCUCAGUAAUUAAAAUAACUUAAUUUUUUUGUAUGAUGUAUGGUAGUCAUGUGUCUGAUUUUCUUCGUGUAUCGGAUUCCAAGAGUUUUAGGAUGGGCGGUACGGUUCUCAUGUUUGAUGGUUUUUACUUUCACAAAAUUGGUUGAUGCUGAUGAGAAUGGCACCGGUGGUCUUUGACACUUAUAUUUUUAAUGUAUAUAAUGUUCACAAUUUUAUUGUUUUACUCUCUUUGGUUCAAUAAGAUUAAGAUACAUACUUUGCCUUGUGCUAAAUCUGAUGUCAUUCAGAUUAUAGGAUUUUUAGGAUAGGUUGCAAGUCUCUUGUUGGACGUUUUCUUUGUUUCUUAAUUUUUUUGUGAUAACAUAGGUGAUUCUAUUUCUACCUCAAACUUGCCUUUCUAUGUUUCAGUUUCAAGAAGACAUUAUUUGAUGUUAGAUGGCCAUUAUGUUCGUGUCAUGUGGACAGAGGACUAAUGGUACUCUUCCAUGAAGAGAAGCAAAUGGAUCAGUAUGUAGUAGCAGGUGCUUUGGAAAGUACAACUGUACAAUUAUGCGACAUAAUAAUGCCUGGAAAUUGGCCUAUGGCUGUAUCAUUUAAGAUAUUUUGGCGUCUCUGCCAUCCUAUGGUUGUUCAACUUCUCUUUUGAAACGAGGCUAUCUAGAGGAUUUCAAGUUAUGUCUUAGGAAGACAUUGAUGAAGAUUUGAGAGGCAGGGGGGAUUGCUCAAGUGGAAACAGAGCAAGAACCAGAAGGAGCUUAAGAUUUUGCUACUACCUUGCUAAUAGCUUUCUGAGAUCAGUUAGGUAUUAUCCAGGCCCAGGUACCCAUCCUUGAUGAUGGAUUCCACGAGCUAAGCUGCAGGGGUGAACUAAGUUGGGAUUUUGCAGCAGCGACGGUCACAACUACCGGUGGAGAUCGAGCUAACGAUCUCCCAAAAAAUUCUACAGAUUCAUCAAACACCGAAGGAGGUUAGUGUAUACCUGAGCGGCAACGGCUGCCAUUGUGGUCUUGCUGGAGCCUCCUUUGCCGUGGAAAGUCACCAGCUUCAGGGAGCGACAGUGGCAACUGCAAGGAUUCGGCUCGCCGAUACGAGCAACGACGACCCCAUUUGCCGAUUCCGCAGCUCCGAGCUGCAGCAGGACCUACCGGGCCACCGAGAUGCAGAUGGAGUUGUUGUGCCUCCGAGCUGUCGGGAUGCAGUGCCUUUGA